CCUACGGGUGGCAGCAGUGGGGGAUAUUGGACAAUGGGGGAAACCCUGAUCCAGCGACGCCGCGUGAGUGAAGAAGUAUUUCGGUAUGUAAAGCUCUAUCAGCAGGGAAAUAAGAAAUGACGGUACCUGCGUAAGAAACCCCGGCUAACUACGUGCCAGCAGCCGCGGUAAUACGUAGGGGGCAAGCGUUAUCCGGAUUUACUGGGUGUAAAGGGAGCGUAGACGGUAAUGCAGGUCUGGAGUGAAAGGCGGGGGCCCAACCCCCGGACUGCUUUGGAAACUGUGUAACUGGAGUGCAGGGGAGGCAGGCGGAAUGCCUAGUGUAGCGGUGAAAUGCGUAGAUAUUAGGAGGAACCCCAGUGGCGAAGGCGGCCUGCUGGACUGUAACUGACGCUGAGGCUCGAAAGCGUGGGGAGCAAACAGGAUUAGAUACCCGAGUAGUC
rnacentral:rRNA from 1 species